rnacentral:rRNA from 1 species
UGGGGAAUAUUGGACAAUGGGCGAAAGCCUGAUCCAGCCAUGCCGCGUGUGUGAAGAAGGUCUUCGGAUUGUAAAGCACUUUAAGUUGGGAGGAAGGGCAGUAAGCGAAUACCUUGCUGUUUUGACGUUACCGACAGAAUAAGCACCGGCUAACUCUGUGCCAGCAGCCGCGGUAAUACAGAGGGUGCAAGCGUUAAUCGGAAUUACUGGGCGUAAAGCGCGCGUAGGUGGUUCGUUAAGUUGAAUGUGAAAGCCCCGGGCUCAACCUGGGAACUGCAUCCAAAACUGGCGAGCUAGAGUAGGGCAGAGGGUGGUGGAAUUUCCUGUGUAGCGGUGAAAUGCGUAGAUAUAGGACGGAACCCCAGUGGCGAAGGCGACCACCUGGGCUCAUACUGACACUGAGGUGCGAAAGCGUGGGGAGCAAACAGG